rnacentral:rRNA from 1 species
GACGAACGCUGGCGGCGUGCUUAACACAUGCAAGUCGAACGGAGAUGCCAUAGUUUGCUGGAGUGGAUCAGUGGCGAACGGGUGAGUAACACGUGAGCAACCUGCCCCAGACCCUGGUAUAUGCGCUGGAAACGGCGUCUAACACCGGAUACGCAACUGGCCUGCAUGGGCAUGGUUUGGAAAGUUUUUCGGUUUGGGCUGGGCUCGCGGCCUAUCAGCUUGUUGGUGAGGUAAUGGCUCACCAAGGCGACGACGGGUAGCCGGCCUUAGAGGGCGACCGGCCACACUGGGACUGAGACACGGCCCAGACUCCUACGGGAGGCAGCAGUGGGGAAUAUUGCACAAUGGGCGAAAGCCUGAUGCAGCAACGCCGCGUGAGGGAUGACGGCCUUCGGUUUGUAAACCUCUUUCAGCAGGGAAGAAGCGAUAGUGACGGUACCUGCAGAAGAAGCACCGGCUAACUACGUG